rnacentral:rRNA from 1 species
AACGAACGCUGGCGGCAGGCUUAACACAUGCAAGUCGAGCGCUCCGCAAGGGGAGCGGCAGACGGGUGAGUAACGCGUGGGAACGUACCCUUUGCUACGGAAUAGCUCCGGGAAACUGGAAUUAAUACCGUAUGUGCCCUACGGGGGAAAGAUUUAUCGGAAAAGGAUCGGCCCGCGUUGGAUUAGCUAGUUGGUGGGGUAAUGGCCUACCAAGGCGACGAUCCAUAGCUGGUCUGAGAGGAUGAUCAGCCACAUUGGGACUGAGACACGGCCCAAACUCCUACGGGAGGCAGCAGUGGGGAAUAUUGGACAAUGGGCGCAAGCCUGAUCCAGCCAUGCCGCGUGAGUGAUGAAGGCCUUAGGGUUGUAAAGCUCUUUCACCGGAGAAGAUAAUGACGGUAUCCGGAGAAGAAGCCCCGGCUAACUUCGUGCCAGCCGCCGCGGUAAAAC